AAUAGGGACAGUUGGGGGCAUUAGUAUUCAGUUGCUAGAGGUGAAAUUCUUGGAUUUACUGAAGACUAACUACUGCGAAAGCAUUUGCCAAGGAUGUUUUCAUUAAUCAAGAACGAAGGUUAGGGGAUCGAAAACGAUCAGAUACCGUUGUAGUCUUAACAGUAAACUAUGCCGACUAGGGAUCGGGCGACCUCUUUUUGAUGUGUCGCUCGGCACCUUACAAGAAAUCAAAGUCUUUGGGUUCUGGGGGGAGUAUGGUCGCAAGGCUGAAACUUAAAGGAAUUGACGGAAGGGCACCACCAGGAGUGGAGCCUGCGGCUUAAUUUGACUCAACACGGGGAAACUCACCAGG
rnacentral:rRNA from 1 species